UCUCUCUCUCUCUCUCUCUCUCUCUCUCUCUCUGCACCUUUCAUCUCACGCUCCCCCUGCCUCAUCUACCAACAUGUAUUCAUGUAAGCCAAAAUCUCCCCAAACCGGAAAGAGCAAAUCCACCGACGCAUUAUUGUCGAGUUCAAUUGAUCGAUCAAAGGUAAAUUACUAAACCACUAUAUUUUUAUCUUGGAUUUGGAUUUUUGGUGGGUUCCAGCUUCAGAAAUCCCUAUGAAACACAUACUUUUGGUGUAAUUCUCGCUGAGCCUGUUGAUGGCUGAGAUGAACUUGCUCCCUUAGAGACUGUGUAUGAGAAAAAACAAUAGUAAAUCCAAUGCGUUUUGUUAGGGAAAACCAAUUAGCAUUACUUCCCGCCUUGAAAUCAAUUUCUCCAUAAUCGUAAUUUUAGGCUGUUUGUGUAAGAUUUUUUUUUUUCCGAACACCCCUAUUAGUUGUAGCAAUUAGAAGUUAAAAUCUGAUCAAAAUUGACCCUCAGAAGAACAGUGGCUACAGAGUAAUGGAUUUUCAAAGGGUUGACAAAAGUGUCGGCGGUCAACAUCAGAACUUCAGGGUACUGUUCUUAUAAGUGUUGCAAAUAUUCGCUCGACCCUAUUCCUAGCUCGCUCAUGCAUUGAGUCAACAUUGCCGUUAAGGACUCCAAAUGGCGAUAUGCGGCACCACCACGGACUACGUCAAUUUGCAACUUUCAAUUCCUUGAAGCAUCUGUUUCUUUUUCAUAAGAAUUUACCUUUUCUGAGUUUAUGGCGACAUCUGGUAGGGUUUGGCCCCGACCACAGAUUAAGGUUGACCAUUGAAAUUCCGGCAAAAUUCGAUUAAGUUUCCAUCCUUCUUUUGUCGUGCGAUGUCUCAUCCCUCACACGAAAGGUAUGGAUCUUGAAACCCGAACUCCUCUUUUACACAACAUGGUUGUAGUUGAUCACAAUAUUGGUUUAUAAUUUUGCUCGGUGAGUGGUUAAUAUCUAGCUGGAAUGGAAAUAACAACAUGAGAUUCACCUUUUUUUUUGGUGCUAAUGAUGUUUUAUAGCUUGAAACUCAUAUGAGUCAUCAUCUUCAGGAACUGUAUUUUAUUUAGGGAUACGAAUGAGAUUGAGGACAACUAGCAUCUAUGGAAGCAAGACGGGGUGUUUUUCCACGCUCGAGGAUAUGGAUUUUACCGUUUUAUUGCCAUGCUCAAUGGUAAUGUUUAGAAUUGGCUUUAGCAUGUUCCAUGACCGUCUUUAUUUGCUGAUUCAAAUUGAACAAGUCAAUGAAUAUGCUUGAGUUAUUCUUUUCUGCAUAGUUAGUUUCAUUGGGCAGGGGUUCAUACAUUGCA